AAUAAUGCCGGAAAGCUUAUAAAUUUAAAACUUACCCAACAUCAAUUUCAAGUUACAGUGAUUUUAAAAGGGUUCGUGCUACUGCUAUAAGUUCCAGAUACCAAAACAAAAUAACACAAACAACAGCUAGAACGUUUGGCAGCGGCCAUAACUUUAAUUUCAACUAGAAUUGUUGCUUGGGUAUCGCCACUUAAACAUAGACGUCUCCUAACUUUUUACUUAAUUACU